GACGAACGCUGGCGGCGUGCUUAACACAUGCAAGUCGAGCGGUAAGGCCCUUUCGGGGGUACACGAGCGGCGAACGGGUGAGUAACACGUGGGUGACCUGCCCUCAGCUCUGGGAUAACGCCCGGGAAACUGGGUCUAAUACCGGAUAUGACUCCAUGACGCAUGUUGUGGGGUGGAAAGCCUUGUGCGGCUGAGGAUGGGCCCGCGGCCUAUCAGCUUGUUGGUGGGGUGAUGGCCUACCAAGGCGACGACGGGUAGCCGGCCUGAGAGGCGACCGGCCACACUGGGACUGAGACACGGCCCAGACUCCUACGGGA
rnacentral:rRNA from 1 species